GUGUCAGCAGCCGCGGUAAUACCGGCAGUCCGAGUGAUGGCCGAUCUUAUUGGGCCUAAAGCGUCCGUAGCUGGCUGUUGAAGUCCGUUGGGAAAUCUGUCCGCUUAACGGGCAGGCGUCCAGCGGAAACUGUUCAGCUUGGGACCGGAAGAGGUGAGGGGUACGUCUGGGGUAGGAGUGAAAUCCUGUAAUCCUGGACGGACCGCCGGUGGCGAAAGCGCCUCAGGAGAACGGAUCCGACAGUGAGGGACGAAAGCCAGGGUCUCGAACCGG
rnacentral:rRNA from 1 species